UUGGAAUAUACCAGAGUAUAGCUAAGAAGCAUAGCAUCUCCCUUACACCGAGAAGU
rnacentral:tRNA from 1 species